GAUGAACGCUGGCGGCGUGCCUAAUACGUGCAAGUCGAGCGAACAGACGAGGAGCUUGCUCCUCUGACGUUAGCGGCGGACGGGUGAGUAACACGUGGAUAACCUACCUAUAAGACUGGGAUAACUUCGGGAAACCGGAGCUAAUACCGGAUAAUAUAUUGAACCGCAUGGUUCAAUAGUGAAAGACGGUUUUGCUGUCACUUAUAGAUGGAUCCGCGCCGCAUUAGCUAGUUGGUAAGGUAACGGCUUACCAAGGCAACGAUGCGUAGCCGACCUGAGAGGGUGAUCGGCCACACUGGAACUGAGACACGGUCCAGACUCCUACGGGAGGCAGCAGUAGGGAAUCUUCCGCAAUGGGCGAAAGCCUGACGGGGCAACGCCGCGUGAGUGAUGAAGGUCUUCGGAUCGUAAAACUCUGUUAUUAGGGAAGAACAAAUGUGUAAGUAACUAUGCACGUCUUGACGGUACCUAAUCAGAAAGCCACGGCUAACUACGUG
rnacentral:rRNA from 1 species